rnacentral:other from 1 species
UGUGCCCUGAGGUACUUGCCAGUUGAUAAGUCCUUGAGCCGAUAAUUUAUUAUCUGGAGGGGAUAAAGUUGAUAUGGUGUGCAUGUCCGCAUGACGGGAAGCCUAAUAUAUUGCUGACCCCACCACCUUGAACCUUUCGGUUCAAGGCGCAAUCAACAGCGGUAUCGUCGGGGACAUC